rnacentral:rRNA from 1 species
UACGUAGGGUGCAAGCGUUGUCCGAUAAUCUGGGCGUAAAGAGCUCGUAGGUGGUUUGUCGCGUUUGUCCGUGAAAACUCACAACUCAAUUGUGGGCGUGCGGGCGAUACGGGCAGACUGGAGUACUGCAGGGGGAGACUGGAAUUCCUGGUGUAGCGGUGAAUGCGCAGAUAUCAGGAGGAACACCGGUGGCGAAGGCGG